rnacentral:rRNA from 1 species
UACGAAGGGGUCUAGCGUUGUUCGGAAUUACUGGGCGUAAAGCGCGCGUAGGCGGAUCGCUAAGUCAGGGGUGAAAUCCCAGGGCUCAACCCUGGAACUGCCUUUGAUACUGACGAUCUGGAGAUCGGGAGAGGUUGGUGGAAUUCCGAGUGUAGAGGUGAAAUUCGUAGAUAUUCGGAGGAACACCAGAAGCGAAGGCGGCCAACUGGCCCGAUACUGACGCUGAGGCGCGAAAGCGUGGGGAGCAAACAGG